AUUUCACAGAAGCAGAAUUCACUGCGCGAAUGUCAGAUAAAUAAGAGGAAGAGGGAUGGGGGGAGGGGGACGCCCAGGGAAAUUAUCUCCUUGGCAUGAAAAUAGCCCCACAUGCCGCACACUGAGGUCCCGGGAGCAUCCCAGGCUCUGGGAACGCACCUGGAAGCUGCACCUGGAUUUCGGAGGCAGCGGCCGGGCUGGAGCCCAGGCCGGGGUCCCGGACUCACCUCCCCGGGGCCUCGGGGAUCGCCCGCUCCUCCCGCGCUACGCUCCUUCCUUCUUCCCCGUGUCAAGUCGCCGAGGAGGAGAAACAUGCAGUUUUCAAAGGUUCCAUUUAUCUGAUCUUCCGGCAAAACCGCGUCCAAGAGACUCCGCCAAAAAAUAAGUUUGAGACCGUCCUGGCCUAUCGUAUCAUGGGAUCCUCUUCAGGGCACCACUGAGACAACAACAACUCUGAAAGCAGGUGUUCAUUACCACUCCACUGACAAUCGCAGCCACAUUCUGCCUGAAGGCCAGGAACAAAAUCACACCAGGGGGCAUCUGAUCCAGGUAAAACAUACACAGCAGCUCAGUAAGUGCUUAACAUUGAAAGGUUUUAGUGAUACCAGAAACCUAUGACACUUUCUCUGUCUUUUGAAAGCUAAUCUCUCCUUAAUUUCAUCUUUCCUGAGAGCAUGGUGCAUGGGGUACAGAUAGAAAUCUCGAAGACGAUUCCUCAACCUUGAGCUGAGCAGCUGGCCUUUGGCAGUCUACAUGGACAAAUACGGAUGUGACACCAUGUAAGUAUCUACAAAUACUUGGCAACCCUGGUGGAACCAUUGAAACGCUGACCUAAAAGGACCUCCACAAAUGCAUGCAAAAAGAAUGAAUGCAUCCACACGAGGCAUGAUAUUCAGGCCAGCAAGACCACGGGAUUGUUAAGCUAGCCCAACCUCAGCGCAAUACCAACUCUAACUACCCUAAGUAGGCUGUGUCGGGAAGACGGCUUCCAACCUCCGAGCCUGUAUCCUCAUCUCGAAGAUGGAUGAUAAUAUCCACUGUGGGAUGUGCCACGAGGCUGAGAAAACAUGUUUCUAAGGACGUAGGUAUGCAUGUAUAUAUAAUUUAUUUAUACCCUAUAAUAGCCAAGAUUCUAACUUUCAAAAACCAAUUCUAGCUAGUUUAAGCAACGAGAGGAUGGCUUUAGAAUUCAGGGAUCUCAAGCUAAGUUUUAAGUAAAAACAGAUACUGGGAAUAAAUGUCAAGACUCUAUCUUUGAUCUCUGCCUC
rnacentral:lncRNA from 12 species